AUUAGAUACCCUGGUAGUCCCGCCGUAAACGAUGUCUACUUGGAGGUUGUGGCCUUGAGCCGUGGCUUUCGGAGCUAACGCGUUAAGUAGACCGCCUGGGGAGUACGGUCGCAAGAUUAAAACUCAAAUGAAUUGACGGGGGCCCGCACAAGCGGUGGAGCAUGUGGUUUAAUUCGAUGCAACGCGAAGAACCUUACCUACUCUUGACAUCCAGAGAACUUUCCAGAGAUGGAUUGGUGCCUUCGGGAACUCUGAGACAGGUGCUGCAUGGCUGUCGUCAGCUCGUGUUGUGAAAUGUUGGGUUAAGUCCCGCAACGAGCGCAACCCUUAUCCUUGUUUGCCAGCGAGUAAUGUCGGGAACUCCAGGGAGACUGCCGGUGAUAAACCGGAGGAAGGUGGGGACGACGUCAAGUCAUCAUGGCCCUUACGAGUAGGGCUACACACGUGCUACAAUGGCGCAUACAGAGGGCAGCCAACUUGCGAAAGUGAGCGAAUCCCAAAAAGUGCGUCGUAGUCCGGAUUGGAGUCUGCAACUCGACUCCAUGAAGUCGGAAUCGCUAGUAAUCGUGGAUCAGAAUGCCACGGUGAAUACGUUCCCGGGCCUUGUACACACCGCCCGUCACACCAUGGGAGUGGGCUGCAAAAGAAGUAGGUAGUUUAACCUUCGGGGGGACGCUUACCACUUUGUGGUUCAUGACUGGGGUGAAGUCGUAACAAGGUAGCGCUAGGGGAACCUGGCGCUG
rnacentral:rRNA from 1 species